CAGAGUGCCAAGACUACUUAAACCAUCGCUGAACGUACUGCCAAGUUGCUUCGGCGGCGCGGCUCCCUCACGGGGACCGCAGCCCCGCCUCAGGAGGUAAGGUCCCCGUACAACUCUGUAUUAUAUUGGUAUCUCUGAGUAGUAUACAAUAAGUUA
rnacentral:misc_RNA from 1 species